rnacentral:rRNA from 1 species
UGGGAUAGCCCGAGGAAACUCGGAUUAAUACCGGAUAUUCUUAUUUAAUCACAUGAUUUUUUAAGGAAAGGUCAGCCGAACUAAGAUGGGCUCGCGUUCUAUCAGCUAGUUGGUAGGGUAACGGCUUACCAAGGCUACGACGGAUAGCUGGUCUGAGAGGACGAUCAGCCACACUGGGACUGAGACACGGCCCAGACUCCUACGGGAGGCUGCAGCAGGGAAUAUUGUGCAAUGAACGAAAGUUUGACACAGCGACACCGCGUGUGGGAUGACGGAUCUAGGUUUGUAAACCACUUUCAGGAGGGAAGAAAAUGACGGUACCUCCACAAGAAGCCCCGGCCAACUACGUGCCAGCAGCCGCGGUAAUACGUAGGGGGCGAGCGUUGUCCGGAUUUAUUGGGCGUAAAGAGCUCGUAGGCGGUUCAACAAGUCGGUCGUGAAAGUUCAGGGCUCAACCCUGAAAUGUCGAUCGAUACUGUUGUGACUAGGAUACGGCAGAGGUGAGUGGAAUUCCGAGUGUAGCGGUGAAAUGCGUAGAUAUUCGGAGGAACACCAAUUGCGAAGGCAGCUCACUGGGCCGCUAUCGACGCUGAGGAGCGAAAGCUAGGGGAGCAAACAGGAUUAGAUACCCUGGUAGUCCUAGCUGUAAACGAUGGAUACUAGAUGUAGGAAUUGGUUUAACGAUUUCUGUAUCGUAGCUAACGCGUUAAGUAUCCCGCCUGGGGAGUACGGUCGCAAGACUAAAACUCAAAGGAAUUGACGGGACCCCGCACAAGCGGCGGAGCAUGCGGCUUAAUUCGAUGAUACCCGUAGAACCUUACCUGGACUUGACAUAUAGGGAAAAGUUAUAGAAAUAUAAUGUGCAUUAGCGCCCUAUACAGGUGGUGCAUGGCUGUCGUCAGCUCGUGUCGUGAGAUGUU